AUCCUAGAGUAAGUUGUCUACAUCCUAAGGGUCAACCACUGUGCCACAUGAUUUACAUAAUUAACUCUUACAGUAGAACUUCACUUCAGAGACAUUUAUGCCCAUUUCUCUGAUAAAAAAAAAAAGGCUCAGAGAGACUUUUCCUUGUCCCACUGGCACAUAGGUAGUAAGUGAACAGUCUGAAACUCAAAACCAGCUGCUGGUAUUGACACCAUGCCACUGACUCAAAUCUCUUCCACGUAACGUGUGUGCAUGUGUGUGCAUGCGUGUACGUGUGUACGUGUGUGUGCGUGUGUGUGUGUGUGUGUGUGUGUGUAGAGUACACGUGUGUCUCUCCCGAGCCCCUUGGACACCACAGCUCUUUCAGUUUUUGCUUAAACACAAUUCAUUCUUUGCAGCAAAUUAAGCUGAAGAAGCCUGGGAAUAAAGUUUGGAAAAGGGUUAAUAAAAUUCUUUGCCUAGU